AUGUCUCAAGUGUUUACCAGAACAGGGCAAAUUCCUUUGACUAAGAGUUACCUUCCUGGGUCACAUCUUGAUGAUGCAAGAUUUCAAGGCAUCCAUAUAUCAACACAAAUCACCCUUAAAUCCAUGGGUAAAGCAAGACAAAGGUCACUUUCGACCCAGAUAUCAUUUUUGAAGAGUAUUUCUUUUUCCACCCAUUUUCUGGUUUUUUUUUUUUUUUUGAACUUUUUCUUCCAAGGAGCUUGACUCCUCUCCCUGUGGAUGAAAAUGAUUUUUCCUGACUGCGGGACUGAAGAUAUCACCCACUGGGGAAACGCACAAGAGAAGUGAGGUGUGUGCUUCUAUAUCCAUGACCUUGAAUUGAAGUCUAAGGAUCCCAGGACGCAGGCUCCCUUGGCAUCAUCACUCCAGGAGACCCAUGCCUUCGUGAUGGCUUCUGGUGAGUGACGUAUCAGUAAUGAACAUGUCCCUUGCAUUGACACACACACACAUGUCAGCUCUAGUGACUCACAUCCUCUUCUAGUGACAGCUGAUGGCCCUGGAACUGUGGAGGGCUCCAGGGAGAGGGAGUCUCUCAGUUCCCAAGCCCAUUACAGGGGUGCAGUGACUCAUUGCUCCAAUUGCAGCCCAAGAGAGGAUGCCACAGUUGGUUGGCCACGUGCAUCACGUUGAAAGCUGUAGAGCCUGGAGACAAAUCACAUUUCUGGGGUUUCAUAGGAGCUAAGAAACCCUCUCAAUUUCAACUGGUGCUCUUCUGAGCUCGUUCAUCUUGGAGAGAUGUCAUUUCAUUCUGAAAAUCUGAAUUGAAAUCCUAAUAGCUCAGCGUGCUGCGAAUGCCCCCGGCCUGGCCCACAGAGCUCAUCUGGCAGAGGCCUGGAGUUCAGUUGCAGAGUAAUUCCCCACUCGGCUUGCAGGGCUUAAUCAUCCCCAAGCUGCUGAAAAGGUGCUAAUAAUUUCCAAGUGCCUCCCUUGGCCUCCAGAGGCUUUGUGUUCCUUCUCUCAGUUAACCCUUCUGCACCCUCCCCAGGCAGACCCUAUUGUCUUCACGUCCCAGUAAGCUGGGAAAGACUCAUAAUGCUUACUGAUUCCCCAAGACCAAGCAGUGGCAGAACCAGGACGCAGACUCUGGUUUGUCUGAUUCCAGAACCUCUGUUCUUCCCCUUGCUUCACCUUGGGCAGUGCUGUGGCCCUUCUCCUCCCCACGGUUUCUGCUCGCCUGUGUGUCAGAGCCACUUAGGCCUGCUACUGACCAAGGCUUCUGGUGAUGUAGCCCAGUAUAUGACGUCCUGUGCACACGCAAACCAUACUCGCUGAAACGAAAGGAGAGGGUGCUGAAGGGAUGUGACCUCGGGCAGGACUUGGGGAUUUUAACUCAUGGAGUGAACAGGGUAGUGUGAGAGUCUCUUGAUUUUGCUUGUACUUAAAUGCUUUACAGCAGUGGUUUUCAAUGUCAGUCACACAUCUGAAUCCCCCGAGGGGCUUUGAAGGAACACAGAUCCUGGAGAUCAGGUGAACUGAUCUGGAGAGGGGUCCAGGCAUAAGUCCUCUUAAAAAGUUAGCCAGUGAUUCCAAUGCGCGGGUAUGAGACAUACUGGUUUAGAGUUCCCUGACCUCUCCACUGUCUGUCCAUCUUGUUGCUAAAACAAUUGACUUUGGCUCAAGUCAGAAACUGAGGGCCAACUUUGUUUGUUAGCCCUUGUCUCUGUCACAUCUAAUCUAACAGAGCUUUCAGGCCCCAAUAUCUGCUCCAAUCUGCCCUGUUCUUUCUGCCUCCCUGGCUCCCACCUAACCCAAAGUUAUCAAGCAUCUCUCCAACUGUUGCAACUGUUGCACAUGGCGGUUGUCUGUUCAUCAUCCCUAUCCAUCUUCUUGCUGUUUAUUGAAGCAUGGUUUUGUGCAAGCUUUAAUCUCUCUUGCACGUGACUCAGAGGAAUCUAUCACCACCUCCAGUUUAAGGAUGGCAUAAUGGAGCCAGUCUGGGCAUGGUGACCUGGCCAAUGGUAUUCAGCUGGAGUCAGGCUUGUGGCCUCAGUGGCCUAAUUAGAUUCAGUGGGGGGAGCAGGGUGUCUUUCUUUCCUGCUGUAUGUAAACAGGCAAACAUGCAACUCAGACUGUCUCUGGCAGCCAUGCUGGUACUGUGAAAGGGAAUAGUUUUUGGAUGACAAGGAUGAUUUUGUAAACAUAUAGUGUCAUUUAUAUUGUCAUAUGUGUAGUGAUAGCUUGAUAUAUGUUUAGUGAUUGUUUCUGGCACAUAUAAGAUAGGCAAUAAAUAAGUGAUGAAUUAGGAAUGAGUGAGUUGC
rnacentral:lncRNA from 1 species